rnacentral:rRNA from 1 species
UUUAUGUAAAUUAAAAUUUAAUUUAAUUUUGUUAGAGAGAAGUACAUUCAUGGAAUAAUUAAAAUAUAAAAAGAAUGGUUUAUUGUACCUUUUGUAGAAUGGUUUUAUUAGAAGAUAGGUAUUUACCGUUUCCCGAGAAAAGAAGAGCUAAAUAUAAACCUUUUUUAGAAAAAAAGAUGGUUAUGUGGAAAUAUGGCAUGGAAGAUUUAUAUUUAGGGGCGAAACACCCUCAAUUCUUUCGAUAUCUGGAUGUUUUUGAAAGGCAUAUAGUGCCGCCUUUACAGGUUAAAUGCAGAGUGUUGAGAUUUUGUAUUAAUAGAAUUUUAAAUUUAAUUGGAAUAUUUCUAGGGUUAACCCCCAUCAAAGUUUCUAAAACAAAAAUAAAUUUUUAAAAAAAUCUAUAAGCUUAAGAAACUUAUUAAGUUAAUUAAAACUUAAAAAAUAAAUGUAAAAAUGAGUAGUAAAAAUUUAAUUUUAAGUUAAAAAAUUGAAAAUAACUAAUUUAAUGUAAAAUAUUUAAAUGGUUUCAAGGAAUUCGGCAAAAAGAGGCUUCGACUAGUUUAACAAAAACAUAGCCUGAAGAAUAUAUUUUAGGUGAAAUCUGCUCAGUGUGCUUUAAAUAAUAAAUAGCCGCGGUACUUUGACCGUGCUAAGGUAGCAUAAUAAGUUGGCUUUUAAAUGAGGUCGAGUAUGAAUGAAAGAACGUAGCUAAGCUGUCUCAAGACUAUUUUAUCGAAUUUACUGUGUAGAUGAAAAAGUCUAUAUGAAUAUAAAAGACGAGAAGACCCUUAGAAUUUAAACUAUACUGGAAAAUAUUUCCUGAAUGUUUUUGUUGGGGCGACAUAGAAACAGAAAAACUUUCUGGAAGAAACACGACGAUUUUUAUAAGAACGGAAAAAUUACCUGAGGGAUAACAGCAUAAUUAUAAAAAUUAGUUUGUGACCUCGAUGUUGGACUAGGAAAUUAGUAGACUAGCCGUUUACUAUAUUGGUUCUGUUCGAACUGUUUUUCCU